rnacentral:rRNA from 1 species
GAUGAACGCUGGCGGCGUGCCUAAUACAUGCAAGUCGAGCGAACAGACGAGGAGCUUGCUCCUUUGACGUUAGCGGCGGACGGGUGAGUAACACGUAGGUAACCUACCUAUAAGACUGGGAUAACUUCGGGAAACCGGAGCUAAUACCGGAUAAUAUUUCGAACCGCAUGGUUCGAUAGUGAAAGAUGGCUUUGCUAUCACUUAUAGAUGGACCUGCGCCGGAUUAGCUAGUUGGUAAGGUAACGGCUUACCAAGGCAACGAUACGUAGCCGACCUGAGAGGGUGAUCGGCCACACUGGAACUGAGGCACGGUCCAGACUGCUACGGGAGGCAGCAGUAGGGAAUCUAGCGCAAUGGGCGCACGCCUGACGGAGCAACGCCCCGUGAGUGAUGAAGGUCUUCGGAUCGUAAAACUGUGUUAUUAGGGAAGAACAAACGUGUAAGUAACUGUGCACGUAUUGACGGUACCUAAUCAGAAAGCCACGGCUAACUCCGUG